rnacentral:snRNA from 1 species
UUGCUUGCUUUGGCAGCACAUAUGUUAAAAUGGCCUUGUGCAUGGUCCUUGCACAAGGAUGACACAAAAUUCAUGAAGUCUUCCAUAUUUUU